CGAGCACGCGCGUGUGGCAUAUCAAUAAGCGGAGGAAAAGAAACUAACAAGGAUUCCCCUAGUAACGGCGAGUGAAGCGGGAAGAGCUCAAAUUUGAAAUCUUCAAGGUUUGACCUUGACGAAUUGUAGUUUAAAGAAGUGUUUUCGGUUAGAGGAGUGGUAAAAGUUCUUUGGAAUAGGACAUCAUAGAGGGUGAGAAUCCCGUAUUUGAUCAUUCUUUCUAGCUUUGUGAUACACUUUCAACGAGUCGGAUUGUUUGGGAAUGCAGUCCAAAAUGGGUGGUAAAUUUCAUCUAAAGCUAAAUAUUGGCGAGAGACCGAUAGCGAACAAGUACCGUGAGGGAAAGAUGAAAAGAACUUUGAAAAGAGAGUUAAACAGUACGUGAAAUUGUCAAAAGGGAAGCGUUUGACACCAGUGUUGUUUUUCCGAAAAUCAAUUACGAAUGUUUUGUUUUUAAGGAGUUAUGACUUCAUCGGCUUGCUCCUUUCUUUACUGAAACUUUCUUAAUGCACUUUUCGGUUAACAAGUCAACAUCAAUUUCUUUUGUUGUAAAAGGGUAUGAGGAAGGUGGCUUUCUUUUCGGAGAAAGUGUUUAUAGCCUUGUGCCUCUGCAAUCGGAGAGAUUGAGGUCUGCAGCGUAGAUCCUUCGGGGUUAGAUACGUUUGUGCUAAGUUAUAGCUUUUCAUAGACAACUUGUUGACUAUGUUUAGUCUUGUAGCUUACUCGCUGACGCUAUUUUACCUACGCUUAGGAUGUUGAACUCUAUCACACACAG
rnacentral:rRNA from 1 species